rnacentral:rRNA from 1 species
UACAGAGGUCCCAAGCGUUGUUCGGAUUCACUGGGCGUAAAGGGUGCGUAGGCGGUCGGGUAAGUCUGAUGUGAAAUCUCACAGCUUAACUGUGAAACUGCAUUGGAUACUAUCCGGCUCGAGGAAUGGAGGGGAGACUGGAAUACUUGGUGUAGCAGUGAAAUGCGUAGAUAUCAGGAGGAACACCGGUGGCGAAGGCGGGUCUCUGGGCAGUAACUGACGCUGAGGAGCGAAAGCGUGGGGAGCGAACAGG